rnacentral:lncRNA from 1 species
UCCCUAUACGAUGCAGGCCUCAGUUCUUCCAUCUGUAAAAGGGGAAUAAUGUAUCUGUCUCAUGGAGCUUCCAUGGCAAUUUCAUGAGUUAAUAUGCAUAUAUACAUGACUUAGAAUGUUGUCUCAGUGGUGAGUUCUGAAUAAAUGUGACUAUUUAAUUGUUGAGGGGGAAAUUAUUAUUUGAUGCAUUUGGCUGUACAAAAGACAAAACUAUGGUCUGAGUUUGGAAUGGGUAAUGAGGCAUC